ACUUAAAUAGCUUAUAAAGAGCAUGAUAUUGAAGAUAUCAAGGAAAUAGAAUUAUUUUUAAGUA
rnacentral:tRNA from 1 species